UACCAAAAACAUCGCCUUCUGAUACUCAUAGAAGGUCCAGCCUGCCCAGUGACUAAGUUAAACGGCCGCGGUACCCUAACCGUGCAAAGGUAGCGCAAUCACUUGUUCUUUAAAUGAGGACUAGUAUGAACGGCAUCACGAGGGUUACACUGUCUCCCUAUUCCAUUCAGUGAAACUGAUCUUCCCGUGAAGAAGCGGGAAUAUAAAUAUAAGACGAGAAGACCCCAUGGAGCUUUAAACUCAGUGUCAUCUGCCACUUCAAUACCCUCUUAAUUACGCAGACCAUGAUAACUAGUUUUCGGUUGGGGUGACCGCGGAGUAAAACAAAACCUCCACAACGAAAGGAACUAACAACCUAAUCCAAGAGCAACAUCUCUAAGAAUCAACAAAUUGACUUAAUUGAUCCAAUUACUUGAUCAACGAACCAAGUUACCCUGGGGAUAACAGCGCAAUCCAUUUCAAGAGCUCAUAUCGACAAAUGGGUUUACGACCUCGAUGUUGGAUCAGGGUAUCCCAGUGGCGCAGCAGCUACUAACGG
rnacentral:rRNA from 1 species